CCUGAAAUGAGCCAGAUUGAUUUUGUGCUGUUAGGUUAUUUAUAUCUUUGCCCUCGGAAUCUAUUGCCUGCCUUGUUGGCUGUUUGGCCAAGUUAAACACUGUGAAAAAUACCUAGGUUAGAACAAGUCACUUCUACCUGUUAAUAAGGAUUUA